CCGGGGCAGCCGGGCCAGAGGAGCGGGGCACGGGGGGGACUCCGCUCGAAGUGGAAUUUUCCCGGUAGCUGAGGCGCAGCCACGAAGUUCUGCCUUGAAACGGGCCGGCGGAUGGGGCUCUUUUGUUUUGGUAUGGCUUGCGGGUGAUGUGUUGUACAAGUGCCUCAAGUUUCUCCUACAAGAUGUGUUCCCCAAAUCCAGCAAACUGGGUCACCUUUGAUGAUGAGCCUCUCUUCCAGUCACCUCAGAAACCUGACAAUCAGAGCAGCUGCAAACCAAAUGGCCUUAAGCUCAACCUGUCCAGUGUUCAUGAGUCUUCAAGUAGAUCAUCCUCUACAGGCAGCACUCCGCUCUCAUCUCCUGUAGUUGAUUUCUACCUAAGUCCUGGACCCCCCAGCAACUCUCCACUUACUACACCUACCAGAGACUACCCGGGAAACCCCUGCAUUCCAAAGUCUGGGAUUCACAUGCUUUACCCCAUCCCUGAAUGGCCAUCAAAUGUUAACCCUUCUCCAUCCCCUGGGAUUUGCUCAUCCCUAGCCUCGCAGAAACCAAGCAGCCUUCCUUUGAACCCCUCACCUAAUGACCAUCCAGGUAAGACUUUGGUCUCCAAAUCAGCAGAUGAAGGAAGCCCUAACCCACCAGGAAGCUGCGAGGAGCUGGCUCCAGGACAAUUCCCGUACUUCCACAGUGACUGUGCUUUUUCCAGUCCUUUUUGGAAGGAAGGGUGCUCCCUCAGCAUGUCGCCAGCUAAUGUUAGCAUGCACAGGAAGGACAAAGGGCUUGACAGGAAUGGGUGUCAUCCUAGAGAAAAAGAAACAUGUCAUGAUCAGAAAAGCCUUAACCAGGGCUCCUUCAGUUACAUCUGUGAGAGGCUUGAACACCUACAAGCUGACAGCUGUGAGGCCAUGGAAAACCCACCCACCUCCAGCACCCACGCAUGGCACAGACUCUCCCCCACCAUCCCACACAGCCUUUUCAGGAGCCAGAAAUCAGAUGGGUGGCCAUUCAUGCUGAGGAUUCCUGAGAAGAAGAACAUGAUGUCAUCCCGGCAGUGGGGCCCCAUUUACCUGAGUGUCCUGGCUGGAGGGGUGUUGCAGAUGUAUUAUGAAAAGGGCCUGGAGAAACCUUUCAAGGAAUUCCAGCUGCAGCCGCAGUGCAAGCUGUCCGAACCCAAACUGGAGAGCUACAAUGUCUCAGGAAAAAUCCACACUGUGAAGAUCGAGUGCGUGUCUUACACAGAGAAGAGGAGGUACCACCCCAAAGUAGAGGUGAUCCAUGAGCCAGAGGUGGAGCAGAUGUUGAAGCUGGGCACCACCGAUUAUAAUGACUUCACCGAUUUCCUUGUGACAGUUGAGGAGGAGCUCAUGAAACUUCCUACUGUUUCCAGACAAAAGAGGAAUUAUGAAGAGCAAGAAAUGACUCUGGAAAUAGUGGAUAACUUUUUGGGGAAAGUCACUAAGGCAGAAGGAAAACUUGUAGAAAGCGCGGUCAUCACACACGUUUACUGCCUGUGUUUUGUGAACGGUGGUGCCGAGUGUUUUCUAACCUUGAACGACCUGGAGCUCCAGAAGAGGGAUGAGCGUUACUUUGAGAAGGAGCAGGAGAAGAAGUGGAUCGAUAUUCUCGACUGCCAUUUCCAUAACUGUGUCAAAGCACAGGAAUUUGAGGAGUCACGGAUUAUUAAGUUUACACCCCCGGACGGCUGCAGGCUGGAACUGAUGCGUUUCAGGACGCACUACAGUGGGCAAGACCUUCCCUUUUCUGUGAAGGCUGCAGUGGUGGUUCAGGGGGCAUACAUUGAACUUCAGGCUUUCAUAAACAUGUCCUCAGCUGCUCAGAUCCUGACACGUUUACCCUCUGUGAAAUACUGUGAAAAUGUUAUGAUACGCUUUCCUGUUCCCACACAGUGGAUCAAAGCACUUUGGACCAUGAACCUCCAAAGGCAGAAGUCCCUAAAAGCGAAAAUGAAUAGGAGAGCAUGCCUUGGGGCUUUGCAUGAGGUUGAAUCUGAUCCUGUAAUCCAAGUCUCGGUUGGAACAGCAAAAUAUGAGAGUGCCUACAGGGCUGUGGUGUGGAAGAUUGACAGGCUUCCAGAUAAAAAUUCAAGUAAAUAUUUUGUGCUAGGGGCUUGGGUGUGCGUCUUCACUGGGUUUAUGCUUGUGUACCUCCAUCAGCUGUUGUGGUUUGGGUUUUUAUCUGUGGGAUGCUGUUGGCAGAAGCCAGAAUAAUCUUUUAGGAAAAAUAGAAUACAGACUUACCAAGUUCUUGAAGGAGGCAAAUGUACUGUCAGUCAUUUCAAGUAUGUGGUAUCAUGGAAGCAGAGCUGAUCAUUCUGAGUAAACCUCAAGUCUGUAGCAGCAAGGCUGAGGGAAAGGUUUAUGCUUCCCUUGUACCAGCUGGGCAAUGGGUGGGAUGGGAAGCAGAAGUUGGUAAAAUGAUUUGUUCACCCAGUAUCACAUAGCUAAUUGAAAAGGUGGUAUUGUCACCACUGGGUCUUGGCUUUCUAGCAUCAUUGAGGAAAUGGUAGGUAUGAUACAGAACUAUAAGGUGCUGUGGUUAAAUCUGCUGUAGGAAGUGCUGUACUCUUGCAAAGGCUGGUUUCUAUUUCCUCUUUCAUGGGUUUGUGCAUUGAUAUCGUACAUUCAUGGCAAUAACUGCACUGACAAAAAAUGCCUCCGACUUUAUUCCCAUUUCUCUCUGGUGGUUUCUCACUGAAAACUGGUAGCCGUACAAACAGCUACAUUUUUAAUUGCACACAUGGAAAUAGUUAAUUUACUUUAAUUUAAAGGAGAAAACAUGACUUUUGGAAGAAGAAAAAUAGAAAUACUUGGGUUUAAAAUUCCAAUUUUUAGUCGUAUUACCAGUACCCUUCUAAAGACAUAGUACUUUUCUAAGGACAUAAAAAUUCUUGAGGAAUACAGUGUCAUGCUUCGAGUUCUGUAGAGUGAAGGCAUUUGAUCCUUUGCAUUAUGUGUACCUGAGGCUUUGGGGAUCUGUGUAAGACAAGGGCACCUGUUAAAGCAUUUAAUGUAAAAUCUGUACUUUUGAAAAAGGGGGUAACUGUAUGUUACUAACAUAUGGAUUGUCCUAGUCUUGUAUUAUCCUGUCUGGGCUAACUGCCUCUUUAAAAUGUCCAGAAAAGAUUUUACCUUCUUAAGUCCCAGUUUCAGGCAUUCUACUACUAAGCCAGGACUAAUGGUGGGGGAAGAGCAAUGACAGCGAGAGGGAAGUGAAGGGCAUGGGUGGAGAGACUGGAAAAUGGACAGGGAGGGCAGACGAGUGCUGAAGAGAUGUAGAAUGAGAAGGCAGAAGAAGAUUCUUCAGGACUUCAAAAUCCCUGUGCUGUGCUCCAAGUUUCAGAGAUUUGCACCAUGUUGCUAUGACCCGCGUGUUUUCCCAAGGCUUACAGGACUGUUUGGAUAGCUUUUAGUAUUCUUUGCUAUUUAAUGUAGGUUUGUUUCUGUAAAAUCAAGUCAGCAGGGUAGGCAAUUUUAAAGAAGAUUAUAAGUCUUCCAAAUUUCUUACAGUUCUUUCACCUGAAGAUUUGAUGUGCAAAAUUAACUUCAGAUUUAAGUUAUUUAAAGGGAAGAACUGGGUUUUUUUUGAGGCAUUCCACAGCUUUAAAUUAGUUUCUAGCAGUAGCUUAAACUUCUGACAUUUGAAUAAUUCCUCUAGCUGAGAUCUGCAGAAUCAUUUGUCUCUGUGAAAUGUUCAUGUGUUUGAAAAAACAUUUUGGUAGCAAUACUGCCCAGUCAAAUUUUAAACCUCUGUAUCAAGUGCUCUGUACACAGUUAAGAGUUUAAAAAUAGAAUUGUCCCAAGGCGUGCCAAAAGUCUGGAGACAGUCAAACUAAUAGAAAUAUGUAAACUUUCAUAAUGUGUUUACCGCAGGCGGAAAAAUAUGCUGAGGAUUUUGCUUUUAAAAAGCCUUUGUCCAAGGCUUCUUAAAGUAAAAAAAAAAAAAAAAAAAAAAAAAAAAAAAAAAAAAAAAAAGGAAGGGAGAAGGAUAGAUUGCUUACAGUUAUAUUGUGGCUCCAUUUAUAGACAUUGAAAUAUGUUAAUAUCCACUGGAUUCUACUGAAGCGUUUUCUUGGAAAAGUGCCAGCCAAGUGAAGUCAGUAGGAGCUGCAAGAAACACCAGACUUUUAAAAGCUGCCUAUGCCUAUCCAGAUAUAUAGAUAUUGUAUUUGGAGUCAGAAUUUUGGCAUUAUUUUUAAAAAGAGUAAAGAAAGGAAAAACGUUUUGAGGGGCUGAUCCAGUGAAAUUUCUGCAAAUUGAGUCUUAUGUUUGUGAAAUUGUGUAAGGAAAUGCAGAACACGUAAUGAUUUUAGCACAGUACUGGGGCCAGACUUUGCAGUGGAGAAGCUGUGUCAGCUGCUUCCCAGGGAGUUCCCAGGGAGCAAGGGAGAGACUAAAUUGCAAAGCACUGUGCUUUAAUCACUUGCUGUGUAAAUUUGAGCUCUGUGAUUUUUCCUGCUAGGACACCUCCUUCCUUGAGCCGUUGUGUAAAGCAGCAGUUCUUCAGCUGAUUUCAUUCUGCAUCAGGGGGCCACUGAGGAAGCAGGGACUAAACAAGACAGCAAAUUGGAGCUUGAGGAGGUUGUGGCUGCUGGCAGCCUUGUUACUGCCUUUAGCAUCUGUGCAUGGACUCUGCUGUGGGAGGUGAUGUGGUUCCCAGGAACCACCAGGUGCUGCUUUUCUUAUUUUCUAAACUGCCCAGGUGGAAACUCAAAGCCAUGGCUUUGUCAGGUGGGCUCCAUCCCUGCCCAGCCACCUCCUUCUGGCACUGGCACCACAGUGAGCUGGUGCUUGGUGGUGGUACUGUCCCACUCCUCUAUUCCCUAUGCACUUCUCCCAGCAGGUUGGAUAAAUGUACCCAUUUAGACAUAGCUGCAGGAGUUAUUAACUUCUAACAACCCUAAUGUAUGUAAAUCUGUUCUUAGUAAUUGUUUGUUUUCACGUUCAAAGUAAAAGUUUUAGAACUGGACCUAUUUUGGCAAAAAUAGAACUAUUAAAUAACUAAGAUAAUCAGUAAAUUAUUUUGGCUUAUAUUGCUUUGCUUCAUGAGCCUUUCUCAGAUCAAGGUUGCUUGAAUGCUACUUAUACAGGUGAAAAAGGGCCAAAUUGUGUUAAUAAGUGCAAAGUUGGAUUAUUAAUUACUUAUGAAAUGCUAUAUGAAUUCUAAAUUAUAUUUGUAAUCUAGUUUCAUAGUUUUACUGAUCUUUUGUUUGUUUGUUUUGGCUUUUUUAUUGGUAUUCUUUGUAGACAGAGAGCAAGGUUUGGAAUACUUCUAGGAAUCUAGAGCUAGAUUUUCAGAUUAGGGCAGACUAAAAUCUCUCAAUUCACAGAAGUCUUAACAAGCUGCAUAGACACCUAAACUGCAGGGUUUCUGUCUCAUAAAUUAGAUAGUAAAAGCUCAGUAAUCUCCCCAGAUUCUUCUGGUUGCCUCUCAGGAGUGGUUUGAUUUCAUCAGUCCAGGUGGUCAUGCGUCGACAGUGCCUGCUGGGCCACAUUUUGGAUAGCUGGGCUUGAAUAUGUCAGGGCUCUGUAUAUGUCACCUUAGCACCCUGUGGCUGUUCCAGCACACCUGUCUUUCCACAGCACCACCUUUUCUCUCCUGGCCAACACCUGGCUUUUUCAGCAUUACAGUUUCUUUUGCAAAAGGAUCUUCUACACACAGCCUCUCUUUCUUCUUCUAACUCCAGUGUAACACAAGGCCCAGGAAGCAGUGGUUUCAUGAGAUGAAAAGAACUUCUCAGUUUUAGGUGAAAACUAGGGGGAUGUCCAGAGUCUUCCAAAAUGCUGGUCAGUCACUUUGUCAUCUGACAGCUGAUGGGAAGAAGUGCUCUACUCUUCUAGCACAGCCCAGCAGUGGCAGAAGAACUUCUCCACAAGUGAAGGGGUUACCACCUAAGGAAAAGGAAGCAUCCCAGAAUUCACUGCAUCCCAGCACCAAGACCACUUCAUGGCUGUAGGUCAGCUGGAAUAUAAACCCAGAGGUUUCUUAGGAUUGUCCUGGAUCACAAUUAUUCCAUGUCCAGCAGGGAAACCUUCAGCAACAGCCCAAGGGGUAUGGCUCAUGUGUGCCUGGACUCAAGUGGACAUCUGUUAUCCAACAUUUACAAUCCAAUAUGUGCCCAGGAAAAUUCCAAGCAGUGAUUAUUUCUGGAUUCUAUUUCUCAGAAGACAGAAUAAUUUGCUAGACAAUUCUAGAUGAUUAGACAAUUGCUAUUUGUUUCUUCAUAAGCCUCUCCCCCAAAACACCUCAAGAAGAUUCUGAAUUUGAUCUCCAAAAGCCCUUAGAUGUAUGCUAGUUGUCUUCUACCACAAAUUAACUAAAGCAGCAAACCCUUUUUCCUCAGAUCAUUGAUUAACCACAGCCCCAGAGGGCUUGGCCUUCUCCCUAGCCAAGACAUGCCAAGCAAUCUUGGUGCUGCAAUUCCUGCUGUCCUGCCCAGGAUGCUUCACUUGUGGCUGGCACUGUGCAGUCUGUGAGGCCCAACCCAGCAAACAGCACAAAGAGCAGGUCAAGUAAGUGUGGUGCCAGGCUGCAUCCUGGCACCACCAUGGGAAAGGGGAGCAGGUCCUGGGAGCCAAAAGGAGCACAGUUCAGAUGGGAUGACAUCUUGCAGUGUGGCUCUGGAACAGGGUGUUCCUCAUGGUGUCCUGUUGCUGGGAUGAUAGAGGAGUCAAGGAUGGAGAGCCCACAUCAACAGAGGCUCAUUCCACCAUGCCCAGGCAGUCUGGAAGAGGGACUGUGGACCAAGAGAGCAUUAGUGCAGCAGAAAUGACCCUGGACACAGCAAGAGGUGACCAGCAGCAGAUCAUGGACAAGGCUCACAUCAUGGAGGUACAGAGAUCUGCCUGUCCCUGGGUACAUGAGUGAUGAAACACUAUCUCCUCCUCACGCUUGUUCUGUGUUCCAGUUUCAUUCUCAAGACAUUGGUGGCUGUAAUCCUUAUUUCUGACUUUGUUCCCUCUCUAUUUCCAUAAUAAAGUAUCUGAUGUUACAGUU